UUGAACGCUGGCGGCAGGCCUAACACAUGCAAGUCGAGCGGUAGCACAGAGAGCUUGCUCUCGGGUGACGAGCGGCGGACGGGUGAGUAAUGUCUGGGAAACUGCCUGAUGGAGGGGGAUAACUACUGGAAACGGUAGCUAAUACCGCAUAACGUCGCAAGACCAAAGUGGGGGACCUUCGGGCCUCAUGCCAUCAGAUGUGCCCAGAUGGGAUUAGCUAGUAGGUGGGGUAACGGCUCACCUAGGCGACGAUCCCUAGCUGGUCUGAGAGGAUGACCAGCCACACUGGAACUGAGACACGGUCCAGACUCCUACGGGAGGCAGCAGUGGGGAAUAUUGCACAAUGGGCGCAAGCCUGAUGCAGCCAUGCCGCGUGUGUGAAGAAGGCCUUCGGGUUGUAAAGCACUUUCAGCGGGGAGGAAGGCGAUAAGGUUAAUAACCUUGUCGAUUGACGUUACCCGCAGAAGAAGCACCGGCUAACUCCGUGCCAGCAGCCGCGGUAAUACGGAGGGUGCAAGCGUUAAUCGGAAUUACUGGGCGUAAAGCGCACGCAGGCGGUCUGUCAAGUCGGAUGUGAAAUCCCCGGGCUCAACCUGGGAACUGCAUUCGAAACUGGCAGGCUAGAGUCUUGUAGAGGGGGGUAGAAUUCCAGGUGUAGCGGUGAAAUGCGUAGAGAACUGGAGGAAUACCGGUGGCGAAGGCGGCCCCCUGGACAAAGACUGACGCUCAGGUGCGAAAGCGUGGGGAGCAAACAGGAUUAGAUACCCUGGUAGUCCACGCCGUAAACGAUGUCGAUUUGGAGGUUGUGCCCUUGAGGCGUGGCUUCCGGAGCUAACGCGUUAAAUCGACCGCCUGGGGAGUACGGCCGCAAGGUUAAAACUCAAAUGAAUUGACGGGGGCCCGCACAAGCGGUGGAGCAUGUGGUUUAAUUCGAUGCAACGCGAAGAACCUUACCUGGUCUUGACAUCCACAGAACUUUCCAGAGAUGGAUUGGUGCCUUCGGGAACUGUGAGACAGGUGCUGCAUGGCUGUCGUCAGCUCGUGUUGUGAAAUGUUGGGUUAAGUCCCGCAACGAGCGCAACCCUUAUCCUUUGUUGCCAGCGGUUAGGCCGGGAACUCAAAGGAGACUGCCAGUGAUAAACUGGAGGAAGGUGGGGAUGACGUCAAGUCAUCAUGGCCCUUACGACCAGGGCUACACACGUGCUACAAUGGCAUAUACAAAGAGAAGCGACCUCGCGAGAGCAAGCGGACCUCAUAAAGUAUGUCGUAGUCCGGAUUGGAGUCUGCAACUCGACUCCAUGAAGUCGGAAUCGCUAGUAAUCGUAGAUCAGAAUGCUACGGUGAAUACGUUCCCGGGCCUUGUACACACCGCCCGUCACACCAUGGGAGUGGGUUGCAAAAGAAGUAGGUAGCUUAACCUUCGGGAGGGCGCUUACCACUUUGUGAUUCAUGACUGGGGUG
rnacentral:rRNA from 1 species